rnacentral:rRNA from 1 species
UACAGAGGGGGCAAGCGUUGUUCGGAAUUACUGGGCGUAAAGGGCGCGUAGGCGGCCUUCUAAGUCGAACGUGAAAUCCCCGGGCUCAACCCGGGAACUGCGUCCGAUACUGGAAGGCUUGAAUCCGGGAGAGGGAUGCGGGAAUUCCAGGUGUAGCGGUGAAAUGCGUAGAUAUCUGGAGGAACACCGGUGGCGAAGGCGGCAUCCUGGACCGGCAUUGACGCUGAGGCGCGAAAGCCAGGGGAGCAAAGCGGG